GGGCCGGUAGUUCAGUCUGUUAGAACACCCCGCCUGCAACGGGGAGGCCGCGGGUUCAAAUCCCGUCCGGUCCA
rnacentral:tRNA from 1 species